GGAAGUAAAAGUGUAACAAGGUUUCCGUAGGUGAACCUGCGGAAGGAUCAUUAUCGUACAAAAUGUGAGGGGCAUGCGAGGGCUGUCGCUGACCCAAAAGUCGUGCACGCCCGAGUGUGUCCUCUUGCAUAAUAAUCCAUCUCACCCUUUGUGCAUCACCGCGUGGGCACCCUUCGGGAUCAUCUCGGAGGGGGGCUCGCGUUUUCACACAAACCCCCCUUUUAAAAGUGUAGAAUAACCACAUUUAUGCAAUCAAUACAACUUUCAACAACGGAUCUCUUGGCUCUC
rnacentral:misc_RNA from 1 species